rnacentral:rRNA from 1 species
GACGAACGCUGGCGGCGUGCUUAACACAUGCAAGUCGAACGGAAAGGCCCUGCUUGCAGGGUACUCGAGUGGCGAACGGGUGAGUAACACGUGGGUGAUCUGCCCUGCACUUCGGGAUAAGCCUGGGAAACUGGGUCUAAUACCGGAUAGGAGCCAUUUUUAGUGUGAUGGUUGGAAAGUUCUUUCGGUGUAGGAUGAGCUCGCGGCCUAUCAGCUUGUUGGUGGGGUAAUGGCCUACCAAGGCGGCGACGGGUAGCCGGCCUGAGAGGGUGGACGGCCACAUUGGGACUGAGAUACGGCCCAGACUCCGACGGGAGGCAGCAGUGGGGAAUAUUGCACAAUGGGCGCAAGCCUGAUGCAGCGACGCCGCGUGGGGGAUGACGGCCUUCGGGUUGUAAACUCCUUUCGCUAGGGACGAAGCUUUUUGUGACGGUACCUAGAUAAGAAGCACCGGCUAACUACGUG